rfam:Myotis lucifugus cont2.12188, whole genome shotgun sequence.
AGCAGUUCUCAGGUGAUGCACCCGGAACCAGAGAAGAGGGAGCCCGAUUCCAGGGUGUGUCACCUGAGAACCGCC